rnacentral:misc_RNA from 1 species
GAUGAAGAACGCAGUGAAAUGCGAUACGUAAUGUGAAUUGCAGAAUUCAGUGAAUCAUCGAGUCUUUGAACGCACAUUGCGCCCCCUGGUAUUCCGGGGGGCAUGCCUGUCCGAGCGUCAUUGCUGCCCUCAAGCACGGCUUGUGUGUUGGGCCUCCGUCCUCCUCCCGGGGGACGGGCCCGAAAGGCAGCGGCGGCACCGCGUCCGGUCCUCGAGCGUAUGGGGCUUCGUCACCCGCUCUUGUAGGCCCGGCCGGCGCUUGCCGACACAUCAAUCUUUUUUCCAGGUUGACCUCGGAUCAGGUAGGGAUACCCGCUGAACUUAGGCAUAUCAAUAAGCGGAGGA